AAAGAUGGCGGAGCAUGAGGAAAGAAAAAAGAUACCUUUGGUCCCAGAAAAUCUACUGAAAAAGAGGAAGGCUUAUCAAGCCCUCAAAGCCACCCAGGCAAAGCAGGCACUUUUGGCAAAGAAGGAGCAGAGAAAAGGAAAAGAGCUCAGUUUUAAGCGACUAGAAUCAUUUCUGCAUGAUUCCUGGCGACAGCAGCGUGACACGGUGCGUGUCAGACGACUAGAAGUGAAAUCUCAUGCCUUGGAAUUACCAGAUAAACAUUCCCUAGCCUUUGUUGUACGCAUCCAAAGGAUUAAUGGAGUGAGUUUACUGGUGCAGAAGACCAUUACAAGACUUCACCUAAAAAAAAUUUUCAGUGGUGUCUUUGUUAGAGUCACCCCUCAGAGUCUGAAAAUGCUACGUAUAGUGGAACCUUAUGUGACCUGGGGAUUUCCAAAUCUGAAAUCUGUCCGGGAACUCAUCUUGAAACGUGGACAAGCCAAGGUCAAGAAUAAGACCAUUCCUCUGACAGAUAACACAGUCAUCGAGGAGCACCUAGGAAGGUUUGGUGUCAUUUGCUUGGAAGACCUCAUUCAUGAAAUUGCCUUCCCGGGGAAAUAUUUCCAGGAGAUCUCAAGGUUUUUAUGUCCUUUCCAACUCUCAGUGGCCCGUCAUGAAUAAAGUGGGCUUCUUCAAAGAGAUCGGCUCACCUGGCUAUCGGGGUGAGAGCAUCAAUCAGCUCAUCCGCCAGUUGAACUAGUCCCCGAAUAUCUGAAACCAUGGUGCACUGGAAGCAUGUAUUUUUGGUUUUUGGAAUUAUUACCAA